UACCAAUGCAAUGGGCUACGGGUUGUUGAGGGCCUUGAAGAAUUGGAGCUUUUGGGUAUUUUGUAUUUUUCCAGGUGUGGAUCGUUGGAAAGGUUGACUGAUGUAUCCAACUCAAAGAUACCAAAUGAAUGCAUGAUAGAAGUAUGGGGUUGCAUGAAACUAAGUAGUUAUGAGGGCACUUACCGGGAUUAUAAAGAGAUGAUUCUUGUCAGGAUGAGAAUGACAUUCAACGAGGAGGAUGAAAUGGAGGAGAACGACCGCAUUGAUUUUUCCACGGGCAUAUUAGAAUGUAUCUGCAAUCCCUUAUCGUUUUUUCAAGGGAGGAGUCUUCGGAGGCAGACAGGAUGAGUAAAUUGUCUUGCGGGAUAAUGCAGACGUGGAGUCAGGAAAAAUUGAAUUGAUCUCUAUGCAUUUUGGUUAAGGGUA